rnacentral:rRNA from 1 species
UACGUAGGGUGCGAGCGUUAAUCGGAAUUACUGGGCGUAAAGCGUGCGCAGGCGGUUUUGUAAGCCAGAUGUGAAAGCCCCGGGCUUAACCUGGGAAUGGCAUUUGGGACUGCAAGGCUGGAGUGUGGCAGAGGAGACUGGAAUUCCUGGUGUAGCAGUGAAAUGCGUAGAUAUCAGGAGGAACACCAAUAGCGAAGGCAGCUCGCUGGGACGGUACUGACGCUAAGGCGCGAAAGCGUGGGGAGCGAACAGG